rnacentral:rRNA from 1 species
GCAGCGGAGCGUGUGGUUUAAUUCGAUGCUACACGAAGAACCUUACCAGGGUUUGACAUGCAAGUGGUAGGAAACCGAAAGGCGACCGACCCUUUCGAGGAGCUUGCACAGGUGCUGCAUGGCUGUCGUCAGCUCGUGUCGUGAGAUGUUCGGUUAAGUCCGCUAACGAGCGCAACCCUCGCUGUGUGUUACAAGUGUCACACGGUACUGCCGGUCUUAAGCCGGAGGAAGGUGGGGAUGACGUCAAGUCCUCAUGGCCCUUAUAGGUGGGGCUACACACGUCAUACAAUGGCCGGUGCAGAGGGUAGCCAACCCGCGAGGGGGAGCCAAUCCCACAAAGCCGGUCGUAGUCCGGAUCGCAGUCUGCAACUCGACUGCGUGAAGUCGGAAUCGCUAGUAAUCGCGGAUCAGCAUGUCGCGGUGAAUACGUUCCCGGGUCUU